GUUCUCUUCUUCUCUCCAGCUCCUUCCUGUCGUAGUUGAGCUUCUUCAAGCACAUGAUUCCGUACUGCAGGCUCGUCCUGUUGGAAUGAGGAAUGAGGACCCCAAGAGGUCAACAGAAACCAGCAGACCACUGCCACUGCUCCUUUAUAAGUCCCAUGGCUAAAGUCUCCUGCUCACCUGUGCCCAGCUUCCCUCCUCGGACUCGGACUUCUGCGGCAUGAGGGUGCCGGGCCCAGCGAUGCGUACCACCAGUGCCAACAGACACAGAGAUAGAGGGCCCAGACUAAGGACGGGAAGAGGACAAUGCCAUGGUGCCAACAAUGCAGGGGUGCAGCAGCGCCGCUAUCUAACUUACCCG